rnacentral:rRNA from 1 species
AACGAACGCUGGCGGCAGGCUUAACACAUGCAAGUCGAACGCACCUUUCGGGGUGAGUGGCAGACGGGUGAGUAACGCGUGGGAAUCUACCCUUCUCUACGGGAUAGCUCCGGGAAACUGGAAUUAAUACCGUAUACGUCCUGAGGGAGAAAGAUUUAUCGGGGAAGGAUGAGCCCGCGGUGGAUUAGUUGGUUGGUGGGGUAAAGGCCUAUCAAGGCGACGAUCCAUAGCUGGUCUAAGAGGAUGAUCAGCCACAUUGGGACUGAGACACGGCCCAAACUCCUACGGGAGGCAGCAGUGGGGGAUAUUGGACAGUCGGCGCAAGCCUGAUCCAGCCAUGCCGCGUGAGUGAUGAAGGCCCUAGGGUUGUAAAGCUCUUUCAGUGGGGACGAUAAUGACGGUACCCACAGAAGAAGCCCCGGCUAACUUCGUG